rnacentral:rRNA from 1 species
AGUCGAGCGAUGAAGUUUCUUCGGAAAUGGAUUAGCGGCGAACGGGUGAGGAACACGUGAAGAAUCUGCCCUCCACUUUGGGAUAACACCGGGAAACCGGUGCUAAUACCGAAUAUUGAAACAUAAGUGGCAUCACUGAGUUUUGAAAGAAUUUCGGUGGAGGAUGACUUCGCGGCCUAUCAGCUAGUUGGUGAGGUAAUGGCUCACCAAGGCAACGACGGGUAGCCGGCCUGAGAGGGCGACCGGCCACACUGGGACUGAGACACGGCCCAGACUCCUACGGGAGGCAGCAGUGGGGAAUAUUGGGCAAUGGAGGAAACUCUGACCCAGCGACGCCGCGUGCGGGAUGAAGGCCUUCGGGUUGUAAACCGCUUUCAGUAGGGAAGAAGCGAAAGUGACGGUACCUACAAAAGAAGCACCGGCUAACUAUGUGCCAGCAGCCGCGGUAAUACAUAGGGUGCAAGCGUUGUCCGGAAUUAUUGGGCGUAAAGAGCUCGUAGGUCGUUUGUUACGUCGGAUGUGAAAACCUGAGGCUCAACCUCAGGCCUGCAUUCGAUACGGGCAAACUAGAGUUUGGUAGGGGAGACUGGAAUUCCUGGUGUAGCGGUGGAAUGCGCAGAUAUCAGGAGGAACACCAAUGGCGAAGGCAGGUCUCUGGGCCAAUACUGACACUGAGGAGCGAAAGUCUGGGGAGCAAACAGGAUUAGAUACCCUGGUAGUCCAGACCGUAAACGGUGGGCACUAGUUGUGGGAACCUUCCACGGUUUCUGCGACGCAGCUAACGCAUUAAGUGCCCCGCC